GUACUUGUAGCUUAGUGGAUAGAGCGUCUAUUUCCUAACUUGAAACGUUUAGGUUGUACCCCUAGCUAGUGCG
rfam:Ipomoea nil DNA, scaffold: scaffold2280, cultivar: Tokyo-kokei standard.